rnacentral:rRNA from 1 species
GAUCAUGGCUCAGGACGAACGCUGGCGGCGUGCCUAACACAUGCAAGUCGAGCGAGAAUUUCACGACGGAAUCCUUCGGGAUGAAGAUGUGAAAGGAAAGCGGCGGACGGGUGAGUAACGCGUGAGUAACCUGCCUAUCAGAGGGGGACAACAUUUCGAAAGGAAUGCUAAUACCGCAUAAAAUAACAGUACCGCAUGAUACAGUUAUCAAAGAUUUAUCGCUGAUAGAUAG